rnacentral:rRNA from 1 species
UACGUAGGGGGCGAGCGUUGUCCGGAGUUACUGGGCGUAAAGCGCUUGUAGGCGGUCCACCAAGUUUGGGGUGACAGUUGCCGACUUAAUCGGCAAAGUGCCUCAAAGACUGGCGGACUUGAGGGCCACAGAGGGACAUGGAACUCCAGGUGUAGUGGUGAAAUGCGUAGAUAUCUGGAAGAACACCUAUGGCGAAGGCAGUGUCCUGGGAGGCAUCUGACGCUCAGGUGCGAAAGCCAGGGGAGCGAACGGG